GAAAGCCGUGUGCAAUGAAAAAUGCAAGCACGGUUUGGGGAGGGAUGCGUCGGAUCCCGUAUAACAAGCGAGCUUUUUACCCUCAA
rfam:Eucalyptus grandis cultivar BRASTZ1 unplaced genomic scaffold scaffold_5, whole genome shotgun sequence.